rnacentral:misc_RNA from 1 species
GCUCGGCUGUCUCCAUAAACCCUUGUUGGAGAUUUACGGUGUCAGCUGAGCAUUUGGUUGAACGAGACUAGAGUUCAAUAUUGCUUGGAUCCAUAUAAUUUUCGAGAAAUAUUUCUAUUACUGAUAAAUAGUUUGAUUGAAUUCAUUUUAUCUUUAAAUAUUAUUUAACAUGAUUCAUAUGGAUGUUUCUCGACAUUCUAGUCGAAAGGGUUAAAAAAUUCAUAUUAAUAUAAAAAUAUGCGUAAUUCAAAUUACCGUAGAAACUAAGUACACAUGUACUUGUCAUGCAAAAUAACAUAUCAUUGAUUUUAAAAUAAAUAAACAUUGACAAAAUAAACUCCCGCCAGUUCUUCAGUACUUUGAUUGAGGAUCUGGGCCCUUGGUUCUCUAAUUAAGUAUACUGUUAAUCUUGUAAGACAAAUUUGAAGUAAAUUUUCGUUUAGGUUUGGUAGUUUUUACUUUUAACACGUCUAACUCAGCGUUGUUAUGUGUACACCCAUGAUUUGUUCUAGCAGUAGGGAGCGUUACUGAAUAAAUUCAUGUAAUAUAGCAACUACCUGAUGUUUGUAAAAAAACAUGUUGAUCUGUUCAAAGGUUGUCUGCAGUAUGCGUACACCGGUGCAUUAGAUUAUGGUUGUCUGGGUGGGGAAAGUAAAAAUAUCCUCUCACUGUGAUAUAUAUAUGUUGCAUGUUUUGUUUAUGUUGUGUACAAGGUUUUGUAUUAGAAAUGAUGGAAAAGUGAGUGUGCGAGUUCUAUGUAAUCUGUGUGUUUAAAUGUCUAGUCUUUUUUGAGUUUCAUAGAGUUGUAAACCAGUAUGUUUAUACAUUUGUACUUGUAAUAAUCUUGUUGGCAUUUUAUGUUACUUGCUUUUUGUUGAAUGAAAGUGCACAUGACAUAUUGCAUUGCAAUAAAAAUUUCACAAACAUC